CUAGGGUCAAAACCCUCUAAAAAGAAUCAAACCUUCAAAAAAGAAGAUGAAACCCUUUGGUUUCUUUCUCAUCCGAUGAGGCUCUCGACGAACCUUAAGAGGUUUGGAGACCUUUCGAAUCAGGGAGGCCACCCACGCCGGCGGUGAGACGAAACGUUAGGUUGCUCAUAGCAAUGGGCUGAGUCAACGGCGGUGGAGAGGCACGCCCCUUGCCAUUUUAGACUUUUAAUUUUAAUUUUUUUUUUUGCUUACAUGGCAUAACACAUCAGCAUACUUAUCCAAGUGGCAUGUCACAUGUCAACUUCUCAUAGUUUACAUCUGCCACAUCAACAAAUAUUAAUGGUUAAAUUGAUCAAUGAUUGUUUUAUUAACGAAA